GCCCACCACAGCGCCAGCCAAAGGCUCUGCAAGCGAAAAAUUCAGAGAAGAAGGAAAUCGCAAAGUUCGGGUCGAGAUCCGGCGAGCCUCGUCGGAUUUCGCCCAUCUGUCUUGGAAUAGUUUAUUCGGAGCCCCGAACCAACGGUCUUUCCCUUCUCGUCUCUUCUCUUCUCGUUGAGUUCGCAAAAUGAAGGCGUCUGGUACACUGGUGGCUUCGGUGGUUGCCGCGUCCACCAUGGCUCUUACGACGUCGUCUUCGUCCAACCAGGGGGUUUCUUCUGCGGCGGUGAAGAACGGUGCACAAAACUGUCAAACGGCGUCGGAUAAGGAGAAAUUCGAGCCGAGAUUCGAUGGGUUGAGGUUCAUUGAGACGUUGGUGACAGCGCAUAGAUGAUUGUUGGCGCGGAGUUCUUAAUUAAUUGUAAGCCCGUGAUUAGAAUUCAAUCAGAGACAAAUUUCUUUCCUUUUUCUUGUCUCUUCUUCUCCAAAGUUGAAGACUUUUUUGGUGGGUUUGGUGUUUAUAUUCUCAAUCUCGUAAUUAUCAAGUGAGAAGCUCUCGUCUUUUCCUUAAAAAUCUGGUCAUAGGAAUCUUCGAGAUUCCAGUACAUGUCACAAGGUCUGGCCUUUGUUUGUAUUUCAUUGUAAAUUGUCGGUUGCAAAUUGGUUUGCUUGCGGACUAAAUUAUUUGGAAUUGUAUAAAACACAUUUUGCCAGCCAUUUACUCAUCA